rnacentral:misc_RNA from 1 species
GAUGAAGAACGCAGCGAAAUGCGAUAAGUAAUGUGAAUUGCAGAAUUCAGUGAAUCAUCGAAUCUUUGAACGCACAUUGCGCCCGCCAGUAUUCUGGCGGGCAUGCCUGUUCGAGCGUCAUUUCAACCAUCAGGCCCCCGGCUUGUGCUGGGGACCUGCGGCUGCCGCAGGCCCUGAAAACCAGUGGCGGGCUCGCUGUCACACCGAGCGUAGUAGAUUUUCAUCUCGCUCAGGGCGUGCUGCGGGUUCCGGCCGUAAAAAGCCUUAUUUACCCAAGGUUGACCUCGGAUCAGGUAGGAAGACCCGCUGAACUUAAGCAUAUCAAUAAGCGGAGGA